rnacentral:rRNA from 1 species
AUUCGAAUGAGUACAAUUUAAAUCCUUUAACGAGGACCAAUUGGAGGGCAAGUCUGGUGCCAGCAGCCGCGGUAACUCCAGCUCCAAAAGCGUAUAUUAAAGUUGCUGCAGUUAAAAAGCUCGUAGUUGGAUCUGGGUAGUGCGAUCGCAUGCUGUUGCUUGUUCACGGUCUUGGUUACGAUCAGGGCAGUGGUCAGCUCGGCGUAGUGGUUGUGCAACCUUUCAGCCGUGUCUGUGUUUUAUUAAACAGGUGUCGAUGGGUUAAUGAGUAUUGUAUCUUAUUGACCUGUUGGCAUGCUUUCGGAUGCCUUUAAACGGGUGUCGGGGGCGGACGGCAUCUUUACUUUGAACAAAUUUGAGUGCUCAAAGCAGGCCUAUGCGCCUGAAAAUUCUUGCAUGGAAUAAUGAAAUAGGACUUCGGUUCUAUUUUGUUGGUUUUCGGAUCCGAAGUAAUGGUUAAGAGGGACAGACGGGGGCAUUUGUAUGGCGGUGUUAGAGGUGAAAUUCUGGGAUCGCCGCCAGACAAACUACAGCGAAAGCAUUUGCCAAGAAUGUUUUCAUUGAUCAGGAGCGAAAGUCAGAGUUUCGAAGACGAUCAGAUACCGUCGUAGUUCUGACCAUAAACGAUGCCAACUGACGAUCCGCGUUGGUUCUAUAAUUGACAUCGCGGGCAGUCCCCGGGAAACCUUUAAGUCUUUGGGCUCCGGGGGGAGUAUGGUUGCAAAGCUGAAACUUAAAGGAAUUGACGGAAGGGCACCACCAGGAGUGGAGCCUGCGGUUUAAUUCGACUCAACACGGGAAAACUCACCCGGCCCGGACACUGUGAGGAUUGACAGAUUGAAAGCUCUUUCUUGAUUCGGUGGUUGGUGGUGCAUGGCCGUUCUUAGUUGGUGGAGCGAUUUGUCUGGUUAAUUCCGAUAACGAACGAGACUUUAACCUACUAAAUAGUAGACUGGUCCUCUGUGCUCGUUCAGGGCGCGGCUUCUACUGCUUCUUUAUGGAGUAGUGUGGUCGUGAUCCGACGGGUGCGGUGCCAGUUUUUACUUCUUAGAGGGACAAGCGGCACACUUAAGUCGCACGAAAUUGAGCAAUAACAGGUCUGUGAUGCCCUUAGAUGUCCGGGGCCACACGUGCGCUACAAUGACGGUGCCAGCGAGCCUGGAAACCUGGCCCGAAAGGGUUGGGCAAACUGUUUCAUCACCGUCGUGACUGGGAUCGGGGCUUGCAAUUAUUCCCCGUGAACGAGGAAUUCCUGGUAAGUGCAAGUCAUAAGCUUGCGCUGAUUACGUCCCUGCCCUUUGUACACACCGCCCGUCGCUACUACCGAUUGAAUGGUUUAGUGAGGUCGUUGGAUUGGUGUCGUUGUAGUGGCUUUAUCGCUGCUCGACUGAUAUCGAGAA